rnacentral:rRNA from 1 species
GAUGAACGCUGGCGGCGUGCCUAAUACAUGCAAGUCGAGCGGACGGACGAGAAGCUUGCUUCUCUGAUGUUAGCGGCGGACGGGUGAGUAACACGUGGAUACCCUACCUAUCAGUCUGGGAUAACUUCGGGACACCGGCGCUAAUACCGGAUAAUAUUUUGAACCGCAUGGUUCAAAAGUGAAAGACGGUCUUGCUGUCACUUAUAGAUGGUUCCGCGCUGCAUUAGCUAGUUGGUAAGGUAACGGCUUACCAAGGCAACGAUGCAUAGCCGACGUGAGAGGGUGAUCGGCCACACUGGAACUGAGACACGGUCCAGACUCCUAAGGGAGGCAGCAGUAGGGAAUCUGCCGCAAUGGGCGAAAGCCUGACGGAGCAACGCCGCGUGAGUGAUGAAGGUCUUCGGAUCGUAAAACUCUGUUAUUAGGGAAGAACAGAUGUGUAAGUAACUGUGGACAUCUUGACGGUACCUAAUCAGAAAGCCACGGCUAACUACGUG